rnacentral:snoRNA from 1 species
UGGCUGCUGCUUACCACAGGCUGUGUUCAUAAUUCUGAUGCCCAGGAAGAGGAGACAGAGAGAACUUUCCCUGUGUACACCUCAGGGCAACCCCUGCUCCUGGUCUGCAUGUAUUAAUAGGGAGCAUGG